UCUGAUGAAGAAACAUCUGUGACUUCUUUUUACCAGGGAUGAGUAAAUAGAUUCAGACACAGCAAAUACUUUUGCCCAUCACCUGAACGGAAUCCAACCCUUUGUUGAGGUGAAAGUCAAUGGACCUGAUUCUCCAUUGCAAAGUGAGUGAGAAGAGGAUGUUGAAUUCCACUAAAUCAGAAUGGGUUUAUAUUACCACUGCAACACAUGUGAUUUAAAGGAUUUCUAGAGUUCCAGGCUGAGAUCCUCAGUGUGUCUUUGAGAGUAGACUCCAGCAGCAAGUAAGGUCAUCAAAACUCAGGACAGUGGAUUAACUACUAAUAAAGUGACAUGUACUGCAUGGAACUGUGGGAAGC